rnacentral:rRNA from 1 species
AGCAGCCGCGGUAAUUCCAGCUCCAAUAGCGUAUAUUAAAGUUGUUGCAGUUAAAAAGCUCGUAGUUGAAUUUCGGGGUCAGUAAGUUGGUCGUGCCACUGGUAUGUACUGGCUUUACUGAUUCCUCCUUCUUGUAGAACCGUAAUGCCAUUAAGUUGGUGUUGCGGGAAAGCAGGACUGUUACUUUGAAAAAAUUAGAGUGUUUAAAGCAAGCUAACGCUUGAAUACAUUAGCAUGGAAUAAUGAAAUAGGACGAACGAUCCUAUUUUGUUGGUUUCUAGGAUUGACGUAAUGAUUAAUAGGGAUAGUUGGGGGCAUUAGUAUUCAAUUGUCAGAGGUGAAAUUCUUGGAUUUAUUGAAGACUAACUACUGCGAAAGCAUUUGCCAAGGAUGUUUUCAUUAAUCAAGAACGAAAGUUAGGGGAUCGAAGACGAUCAGAUACCGUCGUAGUCUUAACCAUAAACUAUGCCGACUAGGGAUCGGAUGAUGUUAAUUUUUUAAUGACUCAUUCGGCGCCUUA